ensembl:lncRNA
AAAAUCGAGUGUAUAUACAUACUGGUCUUACUUUGUUCAUUUUUAUCAUUAAAAUACGAAACUUGCUCGGAUUUACUACUUACAUAUGUGUAAUUUUAAUGCCCCCUUAAUAAUUUUCGAAAAUUACAAAGGUAUUCACGUACGUACAUAUAUAUUAACAUAUAUAUUAACAUACAUAUUAACAUAUAUAUUAACAUAUGUAUAUGUUUCCAUGUAAACACACGCGCAAAUGCACGAACAAACACCUACAAUCUGUAGACAUAUACGUCGACGCUUAAGUUGUAUAAAUGUUUUUAUACAUAUUUGUCGCUUUUAAUCUUUUUUUUUUUUUUCUCUUCUUUUAUCUUUUUUUAAAUUAUAAUUUAUAAUUAUUUAUCUUUGUAAAUACUUACGUAAAUACGAUUAGAUUUACUUAUAGUUUGAAUGUUGUACACUUUUUUUUUCUUUGUUUUUGUGCUAGCCGAUUAGGAACUUUUUUUUUUUUUUUUUUUUUUCGUGCUAGCUAAUUAGGAACUUUUUUUUUUUUUUUUUUUUUUUUUUUUGUGCUAGCCAAUUAGGAACUUUUUUGUUUGUCUAUAUUCAAAAUGAACAGAUUAUUUGCAUUUUUAUUUGCCUUCAUUGUAUUAUUUCAUUGCUUUAUUCAAAUCUUAGCUUUAAAAAAGGUUGAGGACAGAUUAAAAUUUCUGAACAAUACGGAUGGAGCUGUUUCUUUAAGCCAUAUAAUGAAAUAUAAAGAUGAGAUAGAAUCACAGCUAAACACGUUCAAAACAAAUGAAAAAAUCUCCCAAAAAAUGGAUUUCGAUUUAAAUGAACUAAACGCUAUCGUAUCCCUUGUAAGAAAUUCACAAGAACAACAGAAACAAAGUUUUUUAACAUUUUCUAAAAUGUUAAAUCAAACAAAAAUAUCAUUAAAUAAAAUGCUUAGUGAAUACGAAAAUAGAAUAUCUCAGCUAGAAUAUAAUAUAAUGGAUAUAAAAAAAUAUGAUCCGUUCAUAGAAAAAUAUACAUACCCGAUAUCAAAAUAUUGGUUAAAAAUCGAUUUUCAUAAUUUCAAAUCUAUAUGGAAAUAUAAAAAAAACAAAAAUUAUUUUUCAAUUAUUCAAGAUAAUGAUAUAAAUAAUUUAAAAACACCCGUAACCAUAUUAUUAUUAAAACAUCACAAAAUUAUUGAUGGUUUUUUUAAUGUAGAUAUUUUACAAACACACAGUUCUACAACAGAUGUACAAAAUGUUGCUUCAUCAGGCAUAGUUUUUCAUUUUAUUAAUCAGUACAAGUAUCGAUUUAUCGAGUUAUCACAUUUUAGUACACAAGCAGCUAUAACAGUUGGUGAAAUCGAUAACGGUGUCUAUAAGAAAAUACUAUCUAGGAGCGUCGAAACCAAUGCCAACGAAUUUAAUUCUUUGACAUGCAAAUUCAAUAAUAAAAAAAUGCAUAUUUAUUUAAAUUAUAGAAAAAUCAUAGAAAUAAAAGGUGUUGAAAGUAAUAAUAAUAACUCUGUAGGAUUAUUCACAAAAAGUGGUAUAUCAGAAUUUAUAAAUAUAGUGUCAGGAAAUUUAUAUUUUAUAAAAAUAUUAAAAAAUAAAUUAAUAGAUUCAAAUGACACAGAUGGAAAAAAUGGAACAGAUGUUUAUAAAAGUGAAUUUUUACAAAGCUAUCGUUUCUCCAAAAAAAUAAUUAAGGAUGAUUUGAGUGUAUAUGAAAUACCAUAUACAACAAAUAAAGAUUAUGACGAUGCGAACAUGAUAAACUCGGUUGGAGAUUUAUAUCCUGUACCAGAUUCUGACACAUAUUACAACAAAUUAAAUAAAAAAAAUACAUUUAAUUUUUCUAAUAAUCAAAAUAAUACAGAAAAGGGACAAAAUUUAUGUAAAACGUAUACUAGCAAAAAUUUUAAUUUGUAUGAUUGGGUAAAUGGUAAUAAUAACAACAACAACAACAACAACAACAACAACAACAACAACAACAACAAUAGUGACAAUAAUAAUGAUAGUAUAUAUAACUGGAAAGUUAUAAACGAAUUUGGUAUAAGCAGAUUAAUAUAUUUCAACAAUUACAAAAACAUGAAAAUUGAAUCAUCAUUGAUUUAUAAAUUAAGUUCAUGUAAUUCUUAUAAAUUAUCAUCCUAUAUAAAAUUAGAAAAUAAUAGUGAAGCUGGUUUAUUAUUUAGAUAUAACAAUUCAAAUAAUAUGUAUAUAUUAACAAUAUCAGUUGAUACGAAAAAUAUAGUACUAAAAAAAUAUCAAAAUAAUAAAAAAACUAUUCUUAAAAGUAUAUAUAUACCAACAAUUAAUACUUUUCGAAGACAUCAUUUAGUGAUAGAUGACCAAGGACAAACAGGAAUUAUUAGUAUAUCCCUUGACGAAGAAAAUAUUUUUUCUAUAAAUAAUCAAAAUAAUUACAAGUCAGGAUUUGUAGGAUUUUUUGUCGAAUAUGGAUAUGCAAUAUAUGAUACGUUUAAAUUCGAGCCAACUAAUUCGACUAAGCCGACUAAGACAAACACAUCAUAAAAUAAAACUGUUGUAAGUUCAAAAAAAAAAAAAAAA